rnacentral:rRNA from 1 species
AGAGUUUGAUCAUGGCUCAGAGCGAACGCUGGCGGCAGGCCUAACACAUGCAAGUCGAGCGCCCAGCAAUGGGAGCGGCAGACGGGAUAGUAACACGUGGGAACGUACCCUUCAGUUCGGAACAACCCAGGGAAACUUGGGCUAAUACCGAAUACGUCCGUAAGGAGAAAGAUUUAUCGCUGAAGGAUCGGCCCGCGUCUGAUUAGCUAGUUGGUGAGGUAAUGGCUCACCAAGGCGACGAUCAGUAGCUGGUCUGAGAGGAUGAUCAGCAUCACUGGGACUGAGACACGGCCCAGACUCCUACGGGAGGCAGCAGUGGGGAAUAUUGGACAAUGGGCGCAAGCCUGAUCCAGCCAUGCCGCGUGAGUGAUGAAGGCCCUAGGGUUGUAAAGCUCUUUCGCACGCGACGAUAAUGACGGUAGCGUGAGAAGAAGCCCCGGCUAACUUCGUGCCAGCAGCGGCGGUAAUUC